GACGAACGCUGGCGGCGUGCCUAAUACAUGCAAGUAGAACGCUGAAGGAGGAGCUUGCUUCUCCGGAUGAGUUGCGAACGGGUGAGUAACGCGUAGGUAACCUGCCUGGUAGCGGGGGAUAACUAUUGGAAACGAUAGCUAAUACCGCAUAAGAGUAGAUGUUGCAUGACAUUUGCUUAAAAGGUGCAAUUGCAUCACUACCAGAUGGACCUGCGUUGUAUUAGCUAGUUGGUGGGGUAACGGCUUACCAAGGCGACGAUACAUAGCCGACCUGAGAGGGUGGUCGGCCACACUUGGACUGAGACACGGCCCAGACUCCUACGGGAGGCAGCAGUAGGGAAUCUUCGGCAAUGGACGGAAGUCUGACCGAGCAACGCCGCGUGAGUGAAGAAGGGUUUCGGAUCGUAAAGCUCUGUUGUAAGAGAAGAACGAGUGUGAGAGUGGAAAGUUCACACUGUGACGGUAUCUUACCAGAAAGGGACGGCUAACUACGUG
rnacentral:rRNA from 1 species